rnacentral:rRNA from 1 species
GACGAACGCUGGCGGCGUGCUUAACACAUGCAAGUCGAACGGAAAGGCCCUGCUUUUGUGGGGUGCUCGAGUGGCGAACGGGUGAGUAACACGUGAGUAACCUGCCCUUGACUUUGGGAUAACUUCAGGAAACUGGGGCUAAUACCGGAUAGGAGCUCCUGCUGCAUGGUGGGGGUUGGAAAGUUUCGGCGGUUGGGGAUGGACUCGCGGCUUAUCAGCUUGUUGGUGGGGUAGUGGCUUACCAAGGCUUUGACGGGUAGCCGGCCUGAGAGGGUGACCGGCCACAUUGGGACUGAGAUACGGCCCAGACUCCUACGGGGGGCAGCAGUGGGGAAUAUUGCACAAUGGGCGGAAGCCUGAUGCAGCAACGCCGCGUGCGGGAUGACGGCCUUCGGGUUGUAAACCGCUUUCGCCUGUGACGAAGCGUGAGUGACGGUAAUGAGUAAAGAAGCACCGGCUAACUACGUG